GACGGAGGAUGCAAGUGUUAUCCGGAAUCACUGGGCGUAAAGCGUCUGUAGGUGGUUUAAAAAGUCUAUUGUUAAAAAUUGAAGCUUAACUUCAAAGAUGCAAUGGAAACUUUUAAACUUGAGUAUGGUAGGGGUAGAGGGAAUUUCCAGUGGAGCGGUGAAAUGCGUAGAUAUUGGAAAGACCACCAAUGGCGAAGGCACUCUACUGGGCCGACACUGACACUGAGAGACGAAAGCUAGGGGAGCGAAUGGG
rnacentral:rRNA from 1 species